AAGUCGUAACAAGGUUUCCGUAGGUGAACCUGCGGAAGGAUCAUUAACAAAUUCUUCAACACUGACGUCCCACCCAUUGUGUGUAUAUAUAUGUAUGUUUAAUAUAAGAUGUAUAUGAUCUCCCCUUUCAUUGUGAAAGGGGAAAUUCUCAUCUUACUUUGAACCACAUAGACACACUUGGGUGGUGUACUCACUCACACACACAUCUUGAUGGACAACACCUAGUGAUUCAUAUUACAAAAUGUAUAGACAACUUUUAACAAUGGAUCUCUUGGCUCUU
rnacentral:misc_RNA from 1 species